rnacentral:rRNA from 1 species
UACGGAGGGGGCUAGCGUUGUUCGGAAUUACUGGGCUUAAAGCGCACGUAGGCGGCUUUGUAAGUUAAAGGUGAAAGCCCGGGGCUCAACUCCGGAAUUGCCUUUAAGACUGCAUCGCUAGAAUUGUGGAGAGGUAAGUGGAAUUCCGAGUGUAGAGGUGAAAUUCGUAGAUAUUCGGAAGAACACCAGUGGCGAAGGCGACUUACUGGACACAUAUUGACGCUGAGGUGCGAAAGCGUGGGGAGCAAACAGG